UACGGGGGGGGGCAAGCGUUGUUCGGAAUUACUGGGCGUAAAGGGCUCGUAGGCGGCCAACUAAGUCGGAUGUGAAAUCCCCAGGCUUAACCUGGGAACUGCAUCCGAUACUGGAUGGCUUGAAUUCGGGAGAGGGAUGUGGAAUUCCAGGUGUAGCGGUGAAAUGCGUAGAUAUCGGGAGGAACACCAGUGGCGAAGGCGACUACCUGGCCUGUUCUUGACGCUGAGGCGCGAAAGCUAGGGGAGCAAACGGG
rnacentral:rRNA from 1 species